rnacentral:rRNA from 1 species
CAUUAUCGAAUAAACUUGAACAGGCUGUUUGCUGGCUCUCAAGAGUAUGUGCACGCUUGUCAUCUUUAUCUCUCCAACUGUGCACAUAUUGUAGACCUUUGGGAUUUGGAUUAGUUUUCGAGUUGGGACUGCUGUGAAGUCGGCUUUUCCCUUGCAGGUCUAUGUCCUUUUUCACAAACAUCUGAAUUGUUUAGAAUGUUAUUAUUAUAAAGUUAAAUAUACAACUUUCAGCAACGGAUCUCUUGGCUCUUGCAUCGAUGAAGAACGCAGCGAAAUGCGAUAAGUAAUGUGAAUUGCAGAAUUCAGUGAAUCAUCGAAUCUUUGAACGCAUCUUGCGCUCCUUGGUAUUCCGAGGAGCAUGCCUGUUUGAGUGUCAUUCAAAUUCUCAAAACCAUGUCGAUUGUCUUUGAUGUGGCUUUGGAUUGUGGGGGUUUUUUUGCAGGCCUUUUGGGUCAGCUCCCCUGAAAUGCAUUAGUAGUAUCUGAGCAGAGAAACUACCACAAGGUGUGAUAAAUUUAUCUAUGCCUUUGGUGAGCUGCAUGAACAGAUUGCGCUGCUUAUAAUGAAGUGGCGGUGUCACCACGUUUGAUGAAUUUGACCUCAAAUCAGGUAGGACUACCC